UGGAAGUAAAAAAUCGUAACAAGGUCUCCGUAGGUGAACCUGCGGAGGGAUCAUUACAAAGUGACCCCGGCUACGGCCGGGAUGUUCAUAACCCUUUGUUGUCCGACUCUGUUGCCUCCGGGGCGACCCUGCCUUCGGGCGGGGGCUCCGGGUGGACACUUCAAACUCUUGCGUAACUUUGCAGUCUGAGUAAACUUAAUUAAUAAAUUAAAACUUUUAACAACGGAUCUCUUGGUUCUGGCAUCGAUGAAGAACGCAGCGAAAUGCGAUAAGUAAUGUGAAUUGCAGAAUUCAGUGAAUCAUCGAAUCUUUGAACGCACAUUGCGCCCCCUGGUAUUCCGGGGGGCAUGCCUGUUCGAGCGUCAUUUCACCACUCAAGCCUCGCUUGGUAUUGGGCAACGCGGUCCGCCGCGUGCCUCAAAUCGUCCGGCUGGGUCUUCUGUCCCCUAAGCGUUGUGGAAACUAUUCGCUAAAGGGUGUUCGGGAGGCUACGCCGUAAAACAACCCCAUUUCUAAGGUUGACCUCGGAUCAGGUAGGGAUACCCGCUGAACUUAAGCAUAUCAAUAAGNCGGAGGAA
rnacentral:rRNA from 1 species